GAGAAAGCUCCGGACAUGCGCCACAUGAAAACGGCCCCAGGGUGAGCUUUCAUUAGGAAUACGAAUAAAUUCCAACAAUAAUUUUCAAAUUUUCGACUGACAUUAAUGUUGCCAAAUUUUCACAAAGAUUAAAUGCAAAUUAAAAAAAUUAUACCCUUCGCAGUGGCUCAUAUUGGCCUUCCAGGCCAUUUCAUCAUUUUCGAAGAGGAUUCCCCACAAAAUUUAACAAAAAAUCGAAAAAAUAAUUUGCAUCCAGAUUUUGAUGCAGAUUUACGCAGAAUCGAUCGACAAAUCAUCAAAAGUAUACCGCUUAAGAAUCGGAUGAGUAUUGGCGAAGAUAUAGCCAUCGCAGUGCCUCAUAUUGGCCUUCCAGGCCAUUUCAUCAUUUUCGAAGAGGAUUCCCCACAAAAUUUAACAAAAAAUCGAAAAAAUAAUUUGCAUCCAGAUUUUGAUGCAGAUUUACGCAGAAUCGAUCGACAAAUCAUCAAAAGUAUACCGCUUAAGAAUCGGAUGAGUAUUGGCGAAGAUAUAGCCUUCGCAGUGCCUCAUAUUGGCCUUCCAGGCCAUUUCAUCAUUUUCGAAGAGGAUCCCCCACAAAUUUUGAUGCAGAUUGAUGCGGAAUCGACCCAGAAAUCGUUUAAGGUAUUCCGCUCAAGAAUCGGAUGAAUAUUGGCCGAGAUAUGGCCAUCGCUCGGUGGCAUUUUCUAGAUCCCCUAGAAAAGUCGGAUGAAUCAAUAGCCAAAGGUAUUGUCCGUCCGUAGACUUUCAGGAUAUUUGAAGCUAAUCCCCCAGAAUCUGAUGAGAAUUAACCAAGAUGUGACAUCCGAAGAUAACUUUUAUUUUGCUAGAGAUAUAGCCUUCCAUGGGAGAAGGAUUAUAAAUCUUGAUAAUUAAAAUAAAAACCAUUUGGAUAUAUUUUUUUGUGUUUUUUUUUUAAUUUUGAGAUUAUAUAUAUAUAAUAAUUAGAUUUACAUUCAUUUCUGUAUCAUUUUACUUGUUUUAUUUUAGAAAUAAAGUAAGCAUUUAUUACUAAUUCUUUUAAUGUUUUCUGUUUUAGAUUUGCAGUUUAGUGCACUUUUCCAUUUUGCUUCGAUGAACAUUAUUAAAUAUAAGGGCGGGGGCGUACAUUCAUUUGUAUAACACAAAAACAAACAAUAUUUUAAAUAUAUAUUCUUAAUGAGACUUUUGUGUGGAGGGUGUGGGUGUGGGUGUGGAAGAUUAGGGGGGGAUACAAUUACACGCAACAACACAAAAUAAGGCGGAAUUAGUGUUCCAUCGUAUUGCAGAGUGUGGCAGGUUGGAGAGUUGAAAAAGAUCUAUAUACUGGCGAUAUAGAGUGUAUUGCAACAUGACCACUUUUGAUAUUGAAGCUUCGAAGAACGUAGGGGGGAAAUGCACACGGUACAACAAGCGGAGAUGGGUCGUCCAUUGGGACAUCCAUUUAAAUGUGCUACGAUUUUUGAGUUCAAUUUUGGUUUAAUUUUCCUCAUUUGUUUUUAUCAUAUUAUCUCUUUGCUUUCUCGUAUAAAAGUUCAGUAAAAAAUGCAGCUUAACUAGGCUCUCGUUUCUAAUUCCCUCCAAUUUUAAUUAUUAUUUUCUUUUUUUUUUGUUUUGUUAUUAAGGUAGCUCCCCUUAUAAACGGCGCUCCUCUCCAUUGGAUAUCCUCGCAAGCAUGCUCUGUUCCUGGUUGCUUUUCGGAUUUAUUUUACACAUAAUCAAUUAUUUAAUUUUGUUUUUGUUUUUUUUUUUUAUGGUUUUUAUCACUUAGUUUUUACAAUGGCGUUUUAUGUGGGUUUUGUUUGCUUCGCUUCCUCCAUUAAAAUGAGCACAUACAGUGUGAUCGCUCGGCUCGCUCGCUCUCCACUAACAUUUAAUCAUCAUCAGAAACGCACAAAUAAAUUCUAUCUGAUAAUAUCAAGAACAAAAAC